rnacentral:rRNA from 1 species
CCUACGGGAGGCAGCAGUGGGGAAUUUUGGACAAUGGGCGAAAGCCUGAUCCAGCAAUGCCGCGUGAGUGAAGAAGGCCUUCGGGUUGUAAAGCUCUUUUGUCAGGGAAGAAACGGUGAAAGCUAAUAUCUUUUGCUAAUGACGGUACCUGAAGAAUAAGCACCGGCUAACUACGUGCCAGCAGCCGCGGUAAUACGUAGGGUGCAAGCGUUAAUCGGAAUUACUGGGCGUAAAGCGUGCGCAGGCGGUUUUGUAAGUCUGAUGUGAAAUCCCCGGGCUCAACCUGGGAAUUGCAUUGGAGACUGCAAGGCUAGAAUCUGGCAGAGGGGGGUAGAAUUCCACGUGUAGCAGUGAAAUGCGUAGAUAUGUGGAGGAACACCGAUGGCGAAGGCAGCCCCCUGGGUCAAGAUUGACGCUCAUGCACGAAAGCGUGGGGAGCAAACAGGAUUAGAUACCCUGGUAGUCCACGCCCUAAACGAUGUCUACUAGUUGUCGGGUCUUAAUUGACUUGGUAACGCAGCUAACGCGUGAAGUAGACCGCCUGGGGGAGGUACGGUCGCGAGAAGUAAACGUACGAAAGAAGUUAGACGGCGUGAGACGAGACGACGGACGACGACGAGGGGAGGAGG